rnacentral:rRNA from 1 species
CAAAAACAUAGCUUUUUAUAUUUAAUAAAAAGUAGGGUCUGCCCAGUGAGUAAUUUUAACGGCCGCAAUAUUUGUGCGAAGGUAGCAUAAUCAUUUGUCUUUUAAUUGAUGACUGGAAUGAAUGGCUGGACGGGGAUAAGCUGUCUUAUGUAUAUAUAUUUGAAAUUUACUUUUAAGUAAAAAGGCUUAAAUAUUUUAGAGGGACGAGAAGACCCUAUUGAGUUUAAUAGAAUUUAUUUAAAUUUUUCUUAAAUUUUUAUGUAAUCUAUUUAGUUGGGGAGAUUUGAUAUUAUUAACUAUAUAAGAAUUAAUAGACUUUAAGUUUUUAGGCUCCAUAAUUUAUGAUAAAUAAGGUAAAUUACCUUAGGGAUAACAGCGUAAUAUUUUUUUAGAGUUCAAAUCGAUUAAAAUGAUUACGACCUCGAUGUUGGAUUAAAGAACCUAAUUUGGAGAAGAAGCUAAUUUAGGUAGUCUGUUCGACUAUUAAAUCUUUAC